rnacentral:snRNA from 1 species
AGACGUUACCUGGCAGGGGAGACACCAUGAUCAGGAAGGUGGUUUUUCCAGGGCAGGGCUCAUCCAUUGCACUUGUGGUGUUCUGACCCCGGCGAUUUCUCCAAAUGCGGGAAACUCGACUGCGUAAUUUGUGGUAGCAGGGGACUGUGUUCGUGCUCCCUCUUG